AGAGUUUGAUCCUGGCUCAGGACGAACGCUUGCGGCGUGCCUAAGAAAUGCAAGUCGAACGGGGGCUUCGGCCCUAGUGGCGAACGGUCGCGUAACACGUGGGCAACCUGCCCUGAAGCGGGGGACAACAAUCCGAAAGGGUUGCUAAUACCGCAUGUGGUCUUGUAUUGCAUGAUAUGAGACUAAAGUCUUCGGACACUUCAGGAUGGGCCCGCGGCCUAUCAGCUAGUUGGUGGGGUAACGGCCUACCAAGGCAUCGACGGGUAGCUGGUCUGAGAGGACGACCAGCCGGAUUGGGACUGAGAUACGGCCCAGACUCCUACGGGGGGCAGCAAUUAGGAAUCUUGCGCAAUGGGGGCAACCCUGACGCAGCGACGCCGCGUGAAGGAUGAAGUCUUUCGGGAUGUAAACUUCCUUUCUCAGGGAAGAAGAAUGUGACGGUACCUGAGGAAUAAGCCCCGGCUAACUACGUGCCAGCAGCCGCGGUAAUACGUAGGGGGCGAGCGUUGUCCGAAUUUACUGGGCGUAAAGAGCGCGUAGGCGGGUUGUUAAGUGAGAGGUGAAAGGUUCAGGGCUCAACCCGAACAGUGCCUUUCAUACUGGCGACCUUGAGUGUGGGAGAGGCGAGUGGAAUUCCUGGUGUAGCGGUGAAAUGCGUAGAUAUCAGGAGGAACACCCAUGGCGAAGGCAGCUCGCUGGCCUACAACUGACGCUGAGGCGCGAAAGCGUGGGGAGCAAACAGGAUUAGAUACCCCAGUAGUCC
rnacentral:rRNA from 1 species